rnacentral:rRNA from 1 species
GUCGAGCGAGCUUGCCUAGAUGAUUUUAGUGCUUGCACUAAAUGAAACUAGAUACAAGCGAGCGGCGGACGGGUGAGUAACACGUGGGUAACCUGCCCAAGAGACUGGGAUAACACCUGGAAACAGAUGCUAAUACCGGAUAACAACACUAGACGCAUGUCUAGAGUUUGAAAGAUGGUUCUGCUAUCACUCUUGGAUGGACCUGCGGUGCAUUAGCUAGUUGGUAAGGUAACGGCUUACCAAGGCAAUGAUGCAUAGCCGAGUUGAGAGACUGAUCGGCCACAUUGGGACUGAGACACGGCCCAAACUCCUACGGGAGGCAGCAGUAGGGAAUCUUCCACAAUGGACGAAAGUCUGAUGGAGCAACGCCGCGUGAGUGAAGAAGGGUUUCGGCUCGUAAAGCUCUGUUGGUAGUGAAGAAAAAUAGAGGUAGUAACUGGCCUUUAUUUGACGGUAAUUACUUAGAAAGUCACGGCUAACUACGUGCCAGCAGCCGCGGUAAUACGUAGGUGGCAAGCGUUGUCCGGAUUUAUUGGGCGUAAAGCGAGUGCAGGCGGUUCAAUAAGUCUGAUGUGAAAGCCUUCGGCUCAACCGGAGAAUUGCAUCAGAAACUGUUGAACUUGAGUGCAGAAGAGGAGAGUGGAACUCCAUGUGUAGCGGUGGA